UGCAAAUGGAGAAUCAAAUCAGGCAAAUCAAUGUUUGCUUUAAAGACCACAAUAUGUUGAAGCAUAUUUGGGAUGACAAGACACCGAAAGAAACAUGAGACAUUGGAGAUAGAGGAAGAGCAGAGAAGACAAACUGCCAUUGGAGAUCGAAUCCAAGGCAAGAAACUUCGAAGCAUACUUCUCUCAGUGUUGGAAAAGGAGUUUGGGUGAUGGAUCCACUCAUUCCGGCAAGAAAAUCUAAGAACGGACAAAGUUUCUUGAAGUUCCUGGACGAAAAUCGGAGUUUAGUCAGAGUUCGGGUAAACCGAUCAAAAACAGAAAAUGAGAGAGAAAGAGACCACCACGCGUCGAUCGGCGAAUGAAAGAGCGCGGCGGAGCCGGCGUGCGUCAGGUGGCAGCGUUCCAUUAGUGCGCUGAGUCGGGUCGACCCGUACGCCUGCCAAAUUGGUCUGGAAUCCUGCGGUCCAACCCGACGUUUCCCGCCAAACACUGUGCGCCAUGUGUCACGCUCGUAAAAUUUGAAGGUUCGCGGCCGCUGGGGUUCAAAACGCGGCACUGCCUACGUGCGUGCCGGUGUGUGUGGGGACCUGCUAGCGCGUGGGACCCCAUUCUCUCACUCGUUUGGCCUCUGUUUGCUUGUUUUUUUGCCCCGAUUUCAACUCUGAUCCUAUUUUUAUAUGAAUUAGGACCUAUCAAGGAAAUUUCAGAAUUUUUGGAACCUUUUCCGGCAAAUAAUUCGAGCUUGGGAAGGCACGCGUCAACCAUGUACCAGUCGAUACGGGGAGGUGUUCGAGAGCUGAACUGUCACAGAGGGGUGUCGUUCCGGAGUGUCAAUCCCUUGUCGGUCUUUUAGAGUCCUUUGUCCGUUUUCAUAUUUAGAGUUUUUUGUAUU